GACGUAGGGCGCGAGCGUUGUCCGGAUUUAUUGGGCGUAAAGAGCUCGUAGGCGGCUUGUUGCGUCGACUGUGAAAACCCGCGGCUUAACCGCGGGCCUGCAGUUGAUACGGGCAGGCUAGAGUUCGGUAGGGGAGACUGGAAUUCCUGGUGUAGCGGUGAAAUGCGCAGAUAUCAGGAGGAACACCGGUGGCGAAGGCGGCGACCUGGGACGAUACUGACGCUGAGGUGCGAAAGCGUGGGGAGCAAACAGG
rnacentral:rRNA from 1 species